rnacentral:rRNA from 1 species
GGCGCACGGGUGCGUAACGCGUAUGCAAUCUGCCUUUUACAGAGGGAUAGCCCACAGAAAUUUGGAUUAAUACCUCAUAGCAUAGCAGCUUCGCAUGAAGCCACUAUUAAAGUUACAACGGUAAAAGAUGAGCAUGCGUCCCAUUAGCUAGUUGGUAGGGUAACGGCUUACCAAGGCUACGAUGGGUAGGGGUCCUGAGAGGGAGAUCCCCCACACUGGUACUGAGACACGGACCAGACUCCUACGGGAGGCAGCAGUGAGGAAUAUUGGACAAUGGGCGCAAGCCUGAUCCAGCCAUGCCGCGUGCAGGAAGACGGUCCUUGGAUUGUAAACUGCUUUUGCACAGGAAGAGACACUCGGUCGUGACCGAGCUUGACGGUACUGUGAGAAUAAGGAUCGGCUAACUCCGUGCCAGCAGCCGCGGUAAUACGGAGGAUCCAAGCGUUAUCCGGAAUCAUUGGGUUUAAAGAGUCCGUAGGCGGUUUAGUAAGUCAGUGGUGAAAGCCCAUCGCUCAGCGGUGGAACGGCCAUUGAUACUGCUAGACUUGAAUUAUUAGGAAGUAACUAGAAUAUGUAGUGUAGCGGUGAAAUGCUUAGAGAUUACAUGGAAUACCAAUUGCGAAGGCAGGUUACUACUAAUGGAUUGACGCUGAUGGACGAAAGCGUGGGUAGCGAACAGGAUUAGAUACCCUGGUAGUCCACGCCGUAGACGAUGGAUACUAGCUGUUGGGAGCGAUCUCAGUGGCUAAGCGAAAGUGAUAAGUAUCCCACCUGGGGAGUACGUUCGCAAGAUGAAACUCAAAGGAAUUGACGGGGCCCGCACAAG